rnacentral:rRNA from 1 species
GUGUCAGCAGCCGCGGUAAUACGUAGGGAGCAAGCGUUGUUCGGAUUUACUGGGCGUAAAGGGCGCGUAGGCGGCGUGUUAAGUCAGCUGUGAAAUCUCCAAGCUCAACUUGGAACGGCCAGCUGAUACUGAUGUGCUAGAGUGCAGAAGGGGCAAUCGGAAUUCUUGGUGUAGCGGUGAAAUGCGUAGAUAUCAAGAGGAACACCUGAGGUGAAGACGGGUUGCUGGGCUGACACUGACGCUGAGGCGCGAAAGCCAGGGGAGCAAACGGGAUUAGAUACCCCGGUAGUCCUGGCCCUAAACGAUGAAUACUUGGUGUCUGGAGUUUCAAUACUCCGGGUGCCGUCGCUAACGUUUUAAGUAUUCCGCCUGGGGAGUACGCACGCAAGUGUGAA